rnacentral:misc_RNA from 1 species
UCCGAGUUGACCCCGGCAGUCUCCUAUGAGUCCCCACCAUCACGUGCUGGCAACAUAGAACGAGGGUUGCGCUCGUUGCGGGACUUAACCCAACACCUCACGGCACGAGCUGACGACAGCCAUGCAGCACCUUGUUUUGUGUCUCUUGCGAGAAAGCUACCUUUCGGCAGCGGUCACUCACAUUCAAGCCCAGGUAAGGUUCCUCGCGUAUCAUCGAAUUGAACCACAUGCUCCUCCGCUUGUGCGGGCCCCGUCAAUUCCUUUGAGUUUCAUUCUUGCGAACGUACUUCCCAGGUGGCAUACUUAACGCUUUCGCUUAGGUCCUAACAGUUUAUCGCUAAGACCGAGUAUGCAACGUUUAGGGCGUGGACUAC